GACGAACGCUGGCGGCGUGCUUAACACAUGCAAGUCGAACGGAAAGGCCCUGCUUUUGUGGGGUGCCCGAGUGGCGAACGGGUGAGUAACACGUGAGUAACCUGCCCUUGACUUUGGGAUAACUUCAGGAAACUGGGGCUAAUACCGGAUAGGAGCUCCUGCUGCAUGGUGGGGGGUGGAACGUUUCGGCGGUUGGGGAUGGACUCGCGGCUUAUCAGCUUGUUGGUGGGGUAGUGGCUUACCAAGGCUUUGACGGGUAGCCGGCCUGAGAGGGUGACCGGCCACAAUAGGACUGAGAUACGGCGCAGACUCCUACGGGGGGCAACAGUGGGAAAUAUUGCACAAUGGGCGGAAGCCUGAUGCAGCAACGCCGCGUGCGGGAUGACGGCCUUCGGGUUGUAAACCGCUUUCGCCUGUGACGAAGCGUGAGUGACGGUAAUGGGUAAAGAAGCACCGGCUAACUACGUG
rnacentral:rRNA from 1 species